rnacentral:rRNA from 1 species
AAAGCGUGGGGAGCAAACGGGAUUAGAUACCCCGGUAGUCCACGCCGUAAACGAUGUCUACUCGGAGUUUGGUGUCUUGAACACUGGGCUCUCAAGCUAACGCAUUAAGUAGACCGCCUGGGGAGUACGGCCGCAAGGUUAAAACUCAAAUGAAUUGACGGGGGCCCGCACAGGCGGUGGAGCAUGUGGUUUAAUUCGAUGCAACGCGAAGAACCUUACCUACUCUUGACAUCCAGAGAAUUUACCAGAGAUGGUUUAGUGCCUUCGGGAACUCUGAGACAGGUGCUGCAUGGCUGUCGUCAGCUCGUGUUGUGAAAUGUUGGGUUAAGUCCCGCAACGAGCGCAACCCUUAUCCUUAUUUGCCAGCACUUCGGGUGGGAACUUUAGGGAGACUGCCGGUGAUAAACCGGAGGAAGGUGGGGACGACGUCAAGUCAUCAUGGCCCUUACGAGUAGGGCUACACACGUGCUACAAUGGCGUAUACAGAGGGUUGCGAGACCGCGAGGUGGAGCUAAUCUCAUAAAGUACGUCGUAGUCCGGAUUGGAGUCUGCAACUCGACUCCAUGAAGUCGGAAUCGCUAGUAAUCGUAGAUCAGAAUGCUACGGUGAAUACGUUCCCGGGCCUUGUACACACCGCCCGUCACACCAUGGGAGUGGGCUGCAAAAGAAGUGGGUAGCAUAACCUUCGGGAGUGCGC